AUGCCGACAGCUCUCUUUGCCACCCCUACAACGUGCUUGUUCAAGCAGCUCCUUUUCUUUCAGGUUUUGUGCUUAGAAAGAGUGACAUGAUGCAGGAUGGAGUUGCGAGGAGUUCCCGGACACGGUCAAAGAUGGCUGGAACAGUCGGAUGGAUUUGCAAUCAUGCAAUAAAUGCCCACAUAAGAUGCCAUGGUCAAAUGGUUGGAGAUCGUUGACAGUUUGCAGCUAUUGAUGAAAGUUGUUUCCGUAAUAAAAGCAAGUAUCACCACAGAAGGGCCGGUGCAACAUGGCGACGGAAAAAAGUGGGUUUUAAGAAUAUUAGGAGUUGGUG